rnacentral:rRNA from 1 species
UACGGGGGGAGCAAGCGUUGUUCGGAUUUACUGGGCGUAAAGGGCGCGUAGGCGGCCACCGCAAGUCGGUUGUGAAAUCUCUGGGCUUAACCCAGAAAGGUCAACCGAUACUGCGGGGCUAGAGUGCAGAAGGGGCAACUGGAAUUCUCGGUGUAGCGGUGAAAUGCGUAGAUAUCGAGAGGAACACCUGCGGCGAAGGCGGUUGCCUGGAGCUUUGCUGACGCUGAGGCGCGAAAGCGUGGGGAGCGAUCCGG